CCUACGGGUGGCAGCAGUCGAGAAUUUUUCUCAAUGGGGGAAACCCUGAAGGAGCGACGCCGCGUGGAGGAUGAAGGUCUUCGGAUUGUAAACUCCUGUCAUGAGGGAGUAAGACACAGCGUUAACUGCGUAUGUGUUUGAUAGUACCUCAAGAGGAAGAGACGGCUAACUCUGUGCCAGCAGCCGCGGUAAUACAGAGGUCUCAAGCGUUGUUCGGAUUCAUUGGGCGUAAAGGGUGCGUAGGCGGUUGUGUAAGUCAGAGGUGAAAUUCCGGGGCUCAACCUCGGAACUGCCUUUGAUACUGCUCGACUAGAGUACUGGAGAGGAGACUGGAAUUCACGGUGUAGCAGUGAAAUGCGUAGAUAUCGUGAGGAAGACCAGUGGCGAAGGCGAGUCUCUGGACAGUUACUGACGCUGAGGCACGAAGGCUAGGGGAGCAAACGGGAUUAGAUACCCCUGUAGUC
rnacentral:rRNA from 1 species